rnacentral:rRNA from 1 species
GACGAACGCUGGCGGCGUGCUUAACACAUGCAAGUCGAACGGGUCUGCCCUGUUUUUUGCGGGGUGGGUCAGUGGCGAACGGGUGAGUAACACGUGAGUAACCUGCCCCUCACUUCUGGAUAACCGCUUGAAAGGGUGGCUAAUACGGGGUGUUCUGGCUGUGCCGCAUGGUGUGGCUGGGAAAGAUUCACUUUUGUGGUGUUUUGGGGGGGAUUGGCUCGCGGCCUCUCAGCUUGUUGGUGGGGUGUUUGCCUGCCAAGGCUUUGACAGGUAGCCGGCCUGAGGGGGUGGGCGGUCACACUGGGACUGAGAUACGGCCCAGACUCAUGCGGGAGGCAGCAGUGGGGGGUAUUGCACAAUGGGCGGAAGCCUGAUGCAGCGACGUCGCGUGAGGGAUGGAGGCCUUCGGGUUGUGAACCUCUUUCGCCGGUGAAGAAGGUCCUGCUCUUUGUGGUGGGGUUGACGGUAGCCGGGUUAUGAAGCGCCGGCUAACUACGUG